GGGUGGUUAGGUUUGGGGCCUUAUAUAUUCCCAUGAAAGUGUGGGAGAGAAGAGCACUCAUAAGAAAACAAAUGAAAUUUUAGAAGGGGUUUAUCACAACAACAAACUUGACGAAAGUUGAGGAGAAAUUAUUUUUCUCUUGGACAUCUGCAUCUAUGCCAGGUCCCUAAGAAUGAUCCAUGUGGCCUUUGGGAAAGAUUAAUCUGGAAAGUGCCAAUGUUCAAAUCCUUAACUUCUUGGGCUCUGGAACUGACAUAUGGAAGAGCUUGCCAAUAAACGGGCAACCGGUUAUCUACCUCAGCUCUGCUACCUCUCCUUAGAUCUAUAUAAACACACAGCCUUUUUUAAUAAAGUGGAACCUCU